rnacentral:rRNA from 1 species
AACGAACGCUGGCGGCAUGCCUAACACAUGCAAGUCGAACGAGACCUUCGGGUCUAGUGGCGCACGGGUGCGUAACGCGUGGGAACCUGCCUUUAGGUUCGGAAUAACUCAGAGAAAUUUGAGCUAAUACCGGAUGAUGUCUUCGGACCAAAGAUUUAUCGCCUUUAGAUGGGCCCGCGUUGGAUUAGCUAGUUGGUGGGGUAAAGGCCUACCAAGGCGACAAUCCAUAGCUGGUCUGAGAGGAUGAUCAGCCACACUGGGACUGAGACACGGCCCAGACUCCUACGGGAGGCAGCAGUGGGGAAUAUUGGACAAUGGGCGAAAGCCUGAUCCAGCAAUGCCGCGUGAGUGAUGAAGGCCUUAGGGUUGUAAAGCUCUUUUACCCGAGAUGAUAAUGACAGUAUCGGGAGAAUAAGCUCCGGCUAACUCCGUG